AAUCCCAGCUUGAAAGGGCAUCACAAAAUUAGUAAUAUUCCGAAAUUUCGUUGCAAUUUCCCGUUUGUAAUGCAAAAUGACUGAAAACGGCAAACUUCGCAAGGCUAUAUAUUAUCCGCAUUUUACAACAUUUCGCAACGAAACUUCGGAAUAUUACUAAUUUUGUGAUGCUCUUUCAAGCUGUGAUG